CCGUGAGACAGGUGCUGCAUGGCUGUCGUCAGCUCGUGUUGUGAAAUGUUGGGUUAAGUCCCGCAACGAGCGCAACCCUUAUCCUUUGUUGCCAGCACGUGAUGGUGGGAACUCAAAGGAGACUGCCGGUGAUAAACCGGAGGAAGGUGGGGAUGACGUCAAGUCAUCAUGGCCCUUACGAGUAGGGCUACACACGUGCUACAAUGGCAGAUACAAAGUGAAGCGAACUCGCGAGAGCAAGCGGACCACAUAAAGUCUGUCGUAGUCCGGAUUGGAGUCUGCAACUCGACUCCAUGAAGUCGGAAUCGCUAGUAAUCGUAGAUCAGAAUGCUACGGUGAAUACGUUCCCGGGCCUUGUACACACCGCCCGUCACACCAUGGGAGUGGGUUGCAAAAGAAGUAGGUAGCUUAACCUUCGGGAGGGCGCUUACCACUUUGUGAUUCAUGACUGGGGUGAAGUCGUAACAAGGUAACCGUAGGGGAACCUGCGGUUGGAUCACCUCCUUACCU
rnacentral:rRNA from 1 species